AGCCUCUCAACGUCGCACCUGGAGAGUUUCCAGUACUCUACCAGUCUCGACUACGGGAGGGAGAGUCAAGCAGAGGCCUAACCACUCCACUCCUAGCUUGGCCAGUGGCUAGUGAGUGGAAGGCAAUCUGCUACAAGU